GCCAGAAGUUCCAUGAGCAGAAAAUUGAUGGUUGCAAAUGGUUUUUCGUUUUCUUCAAUUUCAAAUAAAUGUUACCGGAAAUUCUACUGCAGUGGACCGCUUUUUCCAAAUCUGGAAAGCUUUCCGGCGUAGCGAGCGGUUUCUCCACUUCGUCAAUCGUCUGUUUAUCAUUAAAGCAAGACGGUUCAAAAGCAUUGGACCGCUAAGUGGUUGGGGGUUCUUUAAUACUCGCGGUCUUGAUCGUUCUUGCACGGCAUACCAGAGGCGCCGGAAAGAUAAGAUUAUAAUGGGACAGUGGACAGAGCUUCGAUCGCUGGGACCAGUUCAUCUGCAAGAACCACAUCGAGGGCUCUAGCUAAGACGAAUCACUUUAGCAACUAGACAUUGGCUUGACGGCUUCUCUUGGUUUUUUGGAAAAUGUUCACACCCAUAUCUGUACCAUGUGUAAUAGGUCAAAAUAUACUGCCAUGGACAGGCAUCCAGUUGUGCAGGUUUCGAACCCUAGGUUAAUUGUGUCCUGUGUCACACAGACACUUUUUGACAGGCAGCCAUACCAUGUUGAUAAGGCUGGACACAGGUGUGGGUAUGGGGCAUGGCGACCCAACUUGUUGAUCUUUUGUAUAUUUUGUCAGUUUGCUUAGUAAAUCUAUCUUUUUUAUGAAUGUGUAUAUUGAA